GGAGUUAGCCGGUGCUUCUUCUGCGAGUAACGUCACAGAUGUAAGGUAUUAACUUACACCCUUUCCUCCUCGCUGAAAGUGCUUUACAACCCGAAGGCCUUCUUCACACACGCGGCAUGGCUGCAUCAGGGUUUCCCCCAUUGUGCAAUAUUCCCCACUGCUGCCUCCCGUAGGAGUCUGGGCCGUGUCUCAGUCCCAGUGUGGCUGAUCAUCCUCUCAGACCAGCUAGGGAUCGUCGCCUAGGUGAGCCUUUACCUCACCUACUAGCUAAUCCCACCUGGGCUUAUCCAUCAGCGCAAGGCCCGAAGGUCCCCUGCUUUCCCCCGUAGGGCGUAUGCGGUAUUAGCAGUCGUUUCCAACUGUUAUCCCCACAAAUGGGCAAAUUCCCAGGCAUUACUCACCCGUCCGCCGCUCGUCAUCUUCAAAAGCAAGCUUUUGAAAUGUUACCGCUCGACUUGCAUGUGUUAGGCCUUGCCGCCACGCGUCAUCUGAGACAUAAUACAACUACUCGA
rnacentral:rRNA from 1 species